AAAGCUCUUACUAGAUUUGUGCAUAAAUUAAAACUGUGCAUAAAUUAAAAUGAUAUCUCCAAGGAAUUUUUGAAGAUUUUUUAAUGCUUUUUGAUGAUUACUUUCUCAGUUAAUUGCUGUUAAGAUACUCAUUCACCAGUGGUUGUAAAGCACCAAAGAAGAUUGCUUGACCUAGAGAAGAUGUUCAGGUGCCAGGGUAGAGAGAGCUGAAAGUUUGGCUGGUUUUUAUUUCAAUGGCACACUGUUUGAGGUGCUUUUCUUGUUUUUCCUUUUCAUUUUAUUAUUUUAAAACUACUUUCAUCGUUUCUGGGUGAGAAGAGGCUGAUUGUCUUAAACAUUCUAUCUGAAGCAAUGGCUAGUAUUGGUGAGGCUGUUUUGGUGGAGAAAUGGUUUGACAGUGAGGGUGAGGUGAGCAAGGGUUGAAGAAUUUCCUUUUGUGAUCAUAUACCCAUCCCCUUUCUGUGAGUUUCAGUUAGCAAUGCUCCCUCUUUCAAGGCUACUGAUGGGGAGUCUGAAGUGGCUAGAGAAGGGUAGAUCACAUCAGGCAGAGGCAUUUGGGAUGGCAGAGUGGGAAUAGAUGCUCACACUCAGGUUUAUAACCAUUGAGGCUUCCUGACACUGGCUUUGAGAUGAGGUGAGUGGGAAAAGGAUGGAGCAAGAAUGAUUUACAGCAUUAACAGUCUGGUAAAUGGCAAUGACUCCUGGGAAACUAAGGAAGCAGAAGUCUCCCCUUUGACACAAGUGAUUCUUCCUGCCACCCCCUCUCCGUGGGCCUUAGCCUCUGGGAAAGGCAGAGUACUGCAUAAGGCAAUUCACAAAAGGGGGUUCUCAUGCUUGCCUAUCUUGUUUGUGGUUCCUUUCCUUAUUUCUAGUCUGUCAUUAUUUUCACUGUCAGCCAACAGCUCUGAUGACCUUGAUAAAAGCUUUGUUGCUGUUUCUGUGAGUUUCAGAAAUACUGGGGUGCAGAUGAUGGCAUGUGGUGUGGAUACUUGAUGUCUGUAUUCCUGACAAGACUAGCCCCCAUGUUCUGUAAGAACUGAGAAAUACUAAAAAGCACAUAGCUGUUCACCUUCUUUAAGGCAUUUUGUUAUUGAAAUGAUGCAGUCCUAGAGACUGGUAUCGUAAAGUACAUUCUUCCUGACAUCUGUACUGGUCAUUCUCUUAAUCAAACCUAACUUUCAUUAGAAAAAAGAAUAUAUAUAUACAAACCAAACUUAUCCUACAUGUGUUAGAUUUUUGUCUUUGAUCUGUUGUGCAGUUUCACACCUGCAAAAGCACAUAAUAUCUCCCACAAACAGUGUGAUCUUAUAAAGAAGGAAAUAUUUUAAAAGAAUUUAAAAAAAAUAUUGUGAAGGCAUGAAAAGUUAACAAGAAAAUGUAUAACUUGUCUUCAAAUCAAAAUAUAAUAGUGUGAAGUAGCAGAGAUCUGAAGUCACACAGGAAAUUGAGGAUAAAAUGCAAAUGCAGUAUGGAGGCUAUUGAAUAAAUUUUUCCAUCCUGCAUAAAAAUUGUGUAUGAUCAUGUAAUGCAUAACUGUAAAAAAAUACACAUACUAGGGAGUUAGCCUGAUAUUCUUUGGACUCUUUAAUUUUCCAAGCUGGUAACAUUCUUUAAUUGAAUUAUUUUUUGGCUGUGUUUAUAAAAUAAUAGGAAAUACUCUUCACAUAAUCUUACUACAAAUAGAUACUGCCAAGAACUGAAUACAUUUUGGAUCUGUAACGGGAAAUAUGGACAUUACAGUAUUUGGUGUUUUAGAAAUAAUGUUAUUAGUAUAUUUUCCAGAUGAUAGUACAAAAUGCACUAAAACUUAUGUAUCUUUGAUGUUUCUAAGAUUGUUUAGCAUUGUUUGCAGCUUUUUUAUCCUCAGGCAGAUCAACACUCCUGCUUACCUUGGUACCAUGUGCACACUUGGAGGUUGCACUCAAUUCUCUCAUCCAGAUCAUUGAUAAAAAUGUUAAACAAAACUGACCCCAAGAAUGAGCCCUGGGGAAUGCCACUGGUACCCACGGUCACCAACUGAGUUGAGCUCCAUUCACCGUGACUCUUUGGCCCGGCCAUCCAGUCAGUUCUUCCCCCGGUCAACUGUAUACUUGUCCAAGCUCUGAGCAGCCACAUUCACCAGAAGAAUACUGUAGGAAGCAGUGUCAUAUGUUUUACUAUAAUUGCAGUAAACAACAUCUGCAGCCUUUACCUCCUCUACUAAGCAGGCCAUCUUGUCAUAGAUCUGGUUAGUCAGGAAUGACCUGCCUUUCAUAAACACAUGCUGGCUGCUUCUGAUCACUUUUAUGUGCCAUCAUAUGGCACACAAGAUGAUCUGCUCCAUCAUCUGCUGUGGGACCAAGGUCAGACUGACAGGCCUGUAAUUCUCUGGAUCCUCCUUCCUGCCCCUCUUGCAGAUUGGAGUCAUGUUUGUCAACCUACAGUCAACUGGGACCUCCCUGGUUAGCCAGGACUGCUAGUAAAUUAUUGAAAGUGGCUUAGUGAGCAUAGCAUAUCAGAUAUGGAAGAGAGAAAGAAAAAUAGAAGCAAACUAUUUUAAGCAUUUUUCUUGGUAUUAAUUUAUCCAGUAUUACACUUCUUAAGAAAAGAUAAUCAAACUAAGUCUGUAGCUGCUAAAAAGCAGCUUAUCGUUUUCAGACUGGCUGGGUAAUAUAUCCAUAUAACAGCUCCAAUCUUACCCCAUUGUACCUAAUAAGUCUGGAAUAGCAAUUAUACCUAGGAUUAAAAGCAAUAAAAUACAACCUUUCAACACUUUAGAAUGCUGGUUUUAUGAAAAUGAAGUUGUAUAUCAUACAAAGAGAGCUUGUUUAAAUCUUUAUGUCACAGAGAAUAAAGCUGGAGGAAUCUCUCAGGAAAGCAACACAACAAAUGCAUCAGAUACAAUGUAUGAAAACUCCUCAACAAACUACUCCACUGCCAUUUUCCAGUACAAGUAGAAACCCACUUUCCAUUCCUUCAAGAAGACCGAAUGGCUACUCUUCAUGUUCUCUUCAACCUAGUCAUCCUUCAACUUCUGAAACAAUGGAGCCAAUGGAGAUUGAUCCUUUACCUUCACCAAUGAGGAAGGUAAGGGUUUUUUUGUAUAUAUGUAUGUAUUAAAUAUGUAUUUACAUGGUUUUGGUUUCUCCAAUCCUUUUAAUACUGUAAAAGAAGACCACCAUUUCCCCUCUACCUCCAAUUCAAACCAAUUCUUAUGUCCAUGCUAAUUUCAAUUAUGGUUGAUGUUUAAUAGAAGUCAAAUAACCCCCAGAAUGGAACAAAAUAGAAAAAAACACCAUUUUCUAGAAUUCUAUUCUCCACGUGCCAUAUCACAGAAUCACAGAAUAGUUGAGGUUGUAAAGGACCUCUUGAGGUUAUCUUGUCCAACCCCCAUGCUCAAGCAGAGCCACCUAGACCCAGCUGUCCAGGACUAUGUCCAGACAGCUUAUACAGUUUUAAAGGUCUGUUGGUAAAUUAAAUGACAAAUUCUUGAAACCUCACUUUCAUUAUAAAAGUGUUGUAACUGUUUUCAAGAGAAAUGUUACUAAUAGAUAAACUGGGUCUAGUGGAAUGUGUCCCUGCCUAUGACAGAGGGGUUGGAAUUUCAUGGUCUUUAAGGUCUCUUCCAACCCAAAUAAUUUUAUGAUUCGAUGAAAUAGAUUUGGGAUUAAAUUCAAUUUAUAAUAUGUUAAAGACUGGGAAUGUUUGUAAGACCAGACCUCAUGUAGAUGGCUCCAGUGGAAAUCUAAGCUAGCAUCCCAGGAUUUGAUUUAUAACCUAUGGAUAAGUUAUAUCAAUUAUAACUAUGAAUUUAGGUGUAACCUAUGAAUUAUUAUGAUCCUUAUAACUAUAUUUAUAUAAUUAUAUAUUAUAUAUUAUAUACUAUAAUUACUUAUCUCAUUUUAAAGUAUAUUCAUUCGUUGUUCUCUCCUUGACUAUAAAAUGCAUUUAAGGUGAUCAGAUUAGAUGUAGAUGCUCCCAUUUGAAGUAUCUGAAGUUAAAGUGGUGAAUCACUUGGCACGCUUGGCACUCUGGCUUUCCAAGCAUUCCCGAAAUUCCAUUUAUGAUGGAUAAAAGUGUUUUUCAGGCGUGUACUAUGACAGUCAUUUUUUUUUAACCUUUCAUAAACAUUUUGUUCAUUGCUUGACCAGGUGAUCAUGCAGCAGGCUUUGCACAGGGGCAUUAACAAGUGUAUUACUAUCUUAAUUACUUAUAAUUUAUUACAGUAACUUAAUUCUGAGGUUUUAUUUCAUGGCAUUUUAGUGCCAUGAACAAACCUGGUUGUAGAGAAUGACAAAAAUCUUCAAGUUUAUAGUCCUGAAAACUGUACAGCUGUUGCUUAAAAUACCUUAAUAAUCAAUGUACGCUAUAAUUAAUGCUAUACUAUUCAUUUAGCCUGAGACAGGGACUGGUCCAAUAAGAUUAUCACUAAUAACUCCUCCUCAAGAUGGACGUAUGGGUAUGUAAGACUAAAGUUUGUAACUGGAAAAAAUUGUAUUUCUUUAAGAAGACUAAAAAAUUAAAAUCCAUACAUUAGCAAUUUAUUGAGCAAACUUGAAUUAUAUUGAGGUGUAAAGAAUUUACCAUAUAGACAUCAAUCAAGCAGAUGGGAAAUAGUUAAAAAUGAAGAAAGAAGUAAGUCUUCCCCAUACUUGCCUACCCAGUUCUGUGAAUAAUUUCUGGUAACCAAAAUGAUAUUUGCUGAGCAACCAUAGUCAACAUUUGCAAAGAAAAUACUUUGUUGUGUAUGGUUGAAGAGAACAUACAUGCUUGCAGUAUGUGUUGGCCCUCCACUAGCCUUCGUGAUUAUACCGGUUUAUAGUUACCAGAGGUUAAUAUUGUCCAUAAAAUCAUGUUAAAAAUCUCUUGAGGAAAAGAGAGGAAACUAAAUUUUCUAGGAAACUAGAAAAAUAUCUUGUAACAAAAGUAAGGAAAUUAAUUUGAAUUACAGUAGAAUUUCUUCAGGUGAGGUGAUUUAUUUUUUAGGCAUGAUAUCACUAUAUUAGGGUGGAAGACGUUUUAUCUGCCUGUACUGCCUUUUGUUCCUUGUCUGUUGAAGAUCUUGGGUAACACUUGGGCAGCUCUUGGGUAAAUAAGACAUGAAUGGCAGCCUAUUGAAAGUAGUGCAAUUUCUUUGGGCAUUGUUUAUUUGUGAGGAGUUUCCCUGAAUUUCUAGUGCUUUGCAGGUCUACCAUUUAUGUGUCCCUCCUAUUCUCAGUUUUACAUUCAGUGUGCUUCUGUAGUAUUCUAGGCACUCUUACAGCUGGCUCCAGUAGUUAAGAGCCACAUACGGAACUUCUUGCACUCAUAUUUUCUCAUGGUAUAAAAGACCUGAAACAAGGAUAAUAAUUAAAAUUGCAAUGCAGUUGUAAUAUAAUUGUAAUGAAGGAGUGAAAAUGACUUUUUCUAUAUUGCAUCUCAUUUAUAUGUUCAGAUCCUUCCUAAAUGCAUGUUUGCCUAUUAAAUUACUAAUUUAUUAAUUAACAAGAUAUUCAGAGUCUACAUAAUUUUUGCAUGUGUGUCUAAAUAUAAAUAGAUAUUUAAUUAGAUAGUAAAAUUAUAAGACAGUUAUGUGCUCAGCACAUUUCAGAAUCAACCCGGAAAGUUUUUCAGUGGAUAAACUUCAUGAAUCGAAGCAUACUUGCAAAGGUAAGGGCAAGUAGAAACAAUGAUGCAAUGGUAAAGUAAGGAAGAUUUCUUUAUAGGAGAUUAAUGGGGCAAAAACAAUAGCUGAGGAAUUGAAAUACUUCAAAACUAUUGUAUUAAUCUAAUCAGUGAGAGUAGGGUAAGGAAACCAACAUACCUGUGUUAAACUUGGAAAAGAUUUUAAGGAAUGGUGCAAUAUGAUAUCUUUGUGAUAGCUAAAUUCUAUGUAGGAAUUAAUCUAUUGAGACUAAAGACAGUUUUUCACCUUUACCAUCACUGGAGUGCUGCUGAGUAGUUCUGAUAGUUUUCACUUCUGCUGGAGCUUCUUCCAGCAAGAAGACAAAGCAUGCGUCAGUAAUGCCUUGUUUGUGCUACAUCCCUUCCAAAACGGAAUUAUUUUUAGGGCUAUUUUGAUCAUUUCUGAAGUGACAUGUUGACUUCAUUUAGUCAACCAAUUCCUUAUCUUUCAUUUUCUGUUGUAUUUUUGCACCCUUUUUCAUUCUUGAAUAAACUGAUCAUGAAUUUGUGCCAGAUAUUAAUCCUUUUUUUUUCCAAAGUGAUCUCUUAAAUAAAGUAUGUAAUUAAUUUUGGUCCUGUUUUCAAAAAUGUAAUUCUGACAGGUAGUGUAUCCUACAGAAGUUCUCAGUCAUCUGGAAUAACAUCAAGUCAAAAUAAAGCAGGAUCUACAAGAUCCACACCUGUAAGCCUACCACAUAAUGGAUAUUCGCUUAUAUCACCAUCUGGAUCACAAUGCAGUAGAAGGGGAUCAUGGACUGCUUCUGAUUUCAGAACGCCUCCAUUGUAUCCACUUACAUCACCUUCCCCACAAUCAUCUGUAACAAGACAUCCUAUCACCAUCUCUGGAAUUCUACAAAGACAACA